UGGGGAAUAUUGCGCAAUGGAGGAAACUCUGACGCAGCGACGCCGCGUGGGUGAUGAAGGCCUUCGGGUUGUAAAGCCCUGUCGGCUGGGAAAAAGGUAGUCGUGCUAAUACCACGAUUGCUUGAUGGUACCAGCAAAGGAAGCACCGGCUAACCCUGUGCCAGCAGCCGCGGUAAUACAGGGGGUGCUAGCGUUGUUCGGAAUUACUGGGCGUAAAGGGCGCGUAGGCGGUCUUGUAAGUCAGAUGUGAAAUCCCGGGGCUUAACUCCGGACGUGCAUUUGAAACUGCGAGACUUGAGUGCAGUAGAGGAUGGUAGAAUUCCCAGUGUAGAGGUGAAAUUCGUAGAUAUUGGGAGGAAUACCGGUGGCGAAGGCGGCCAUCUGGGCUGCAACUGACGCUGAGGCGCAAAAGCGUGGGGAUCAAACAG
rnacentral:rRNA from 1 species